rnacentral:rRNA from 1 species
CAGCAGCCGCGGGAAUACGAAGGGUGCAAGCGUUACUCGGAAUUACUGGGCGUAAAGCGUGCGUAGGUGGUGGUUUAAGUCCGUUGUGAAAUCCCCGGGCUCAACCUGGGAAUGGCAGUGGAUACUGGCAAGCUAGAGUGUGUCAGAGGAUGGUGGAAUUCCCGGUGUAGCGGUGAAAUGCGUAGAGAUCGGGAGGAACAUCAGUGGCGAAGGCGGCCAUCUGGGACAACACUGACGCUGAGGCACGAAAGCGUGGGGAGCAAACAGGAUUAGAACCCCAGUAGUCCCUGUCUCUUAUACA